CACGUAGGGCGCAAGCGUUGUCCGGAAUUAUUGGGCGUAAAGAGCUCGUAGGCGGUCUGUUGCGUCCGCUGUGAAAACCCAGGGCUCAACCCUGGGCCUGCAUUCGAUACGGGCAGACUAGAGUACGGCAGGGGAGACUGGAAUUCCUGGUGUAGCGGUGAAAUGCGCAGAUAUCAGGAGGAACACCGGUGGCGAAGGCGGGUCUCUGGGCCGUAACUGACGCUGAGGAGCGAAAGCGUGGGGAGCGAACAGG
rnacentral:rRNA from 1 species